rnacentral:tRNA from 1 species
GCCUCGGUAGCUUAAUUGGUGGAGCAUCGCCUUGGUAAGGCGAAGGUUGCGGAUUCAAGUUCCGUCCGAGGCU